rnacentral:rRNA from 1 species
CCCCUAGAUGUUCUGGGCCGCACGCGCGCUACACUGAACAGUUCAACAAGUCUUAACCUUGGCCGAUAGGUCUGGGUAAUCUUUGAACGCUGUUCGUGAUUGGGAUAGACCUUUGCAAUUAUGGGUCUUCAACGAGGAAUUCCUAGUAAACGCAAGUCAUCAGCUUGCAUCGAUUACGUCCCUGCCCUUUGUACACACCGCCCGUCGCACCUACCGAUUGAAUGGUCCGGUGAAAUCUCGGGACGGCGGCUCGGUCGCUUGCGUCCGACUGCUGAAACUUGAUUAAACCAUAUCAUUUAGAGGAAGGUGAAGUCGUAACA